AUACGGAGGGUGCGAGCGUUAAUCGGAAUUACUGGGCGUAAAGCGUGCGUAGGCGGUUUGUUAAGUCAGAAGUGAAAGCCCUGGGCUCAACCUGGGAACGGCUUUUGAGACUGGCAGACUAGAGUUGAGUAGAGGGGAGUGGAAUUUCCGGUGUAGCGGUGAAAUGCGUAGAGAUCGGAAGGAACACCAGUGGCGAAGGCGACUCCCUGGACUCAAACUGACGCUGAGGCGCGAAAGCCAGGGGAGCGAACCGGAUUAGAAACCCUAGUAGUCC
rnacentral:rRNA from 1 species